rnacentral:tRNA from 1 species
GCCUGGGUGGCUCAGUCGGUUGAGCAUCUGACUUUGGCUCAGGUCAUGAUCUCACAGUUUGUGAGUUUGAGCCCCGCACUGGGCU